rnacentral:lncRNA from 10 species
UAUUUGUAGGUGAUAUGGAUGGUGACAUUGCAAUGAUCUUUCCUCUUGCUUACUUCAAUGAACUUGAAAAUAUGGUUGCAUUUUAAAAGGCCUGUGCUACCUUUAUGAGCUGUAGCACUCACUGCAGAGGUCUGCGGCUUCACUCCUGAAGUCAAGUCGGGGAGACCAUGAAACCACCGGAAGGAAGAAACCCCGGACACAUCUGAACAUGUGAAGGAACAAACUCCUGACACAACAUCUUUACGAACUGUAACGCUCACCGUGAGGGUCUGCGGCUUCAUUCUUGAAGUCAGCGAGACCGAGAACCCACUGGAAGGAACCAAUUCCAGACACAUUAUCACUAAUUAAACCUAUGUCUGUACCUUCUAGCAUUAUAUAUAAAAAGUGCAACAUAGAAAACAAAAUUUAAAUCCACAACUAUUUAAUAUUCACAACUUCUGGAUUUAUCUCAUGUUGCAAACUAUUUUUGUUACCCUAUUCUUUGAGAAAUAUAAAACAUCAGUAUUUCA